ACUCAGUGUAAUCCUGCUCAGUAUGAAAGGAACUGCAGUUUCAGACAUGUGGUGUCUGAUCUUGGCUGAGGAGCCAGUGGUGAAGCUGUGUUCUGUAGGAUUAUGAUUGAAUGCCUCUGAGUCAGAAUCCCCCAUGAAAGGU
rnacentral:ncRNA from 1 species